rnacentral:rRNA from 1 species
CAGCCGCCGCGGUAAUACGAAGGGGGCUAGCGUUGCUCGGAAUUACUGGGCGUAAAGGGAGCGUAGGCGGACAUUUAAGUCAGGGGUGAAAUCCCGGGGCUCAACCUCGGAAUUGCCUUUGAUACUGGGUGUCUUGAGUAUGAGAGAGGUAUGUGGAACUCCGAGUGUAGAGGUGAAAUUCGUAGAUAUUCGGAAGAACACCAGUGGCGAAGGCGACAUACUGGCUCAUUACUGACGCUGAGGCUCGAAAGCGUGGGGAGCAAACAGGAUUAGAGACCCCUGUAGUCCCUGUCUCUUAUAC